rnacentral:lncRNA from 1 species
UAUGAUUAUGAGGAUGGUUGUUUAUUGGCUGCUGGUUGCCUUUUUUCUUUGUUUGGCUUUGGUUUCUGAAAUGUUUCAAAGGAUUGGCACAAAUUUUCCUAUAAAAGGGGAUGUAACUAUUUCCAUCUCUGAGAGAGAAGAAGAGAGAGGAGGAGGAGAGAGAAAGAGUAAUGGUUUUUGGUAAGUUUCAAGGGACUUAGUUAGGGCUUUUGUGGAAAAUAAAAAGUGGUUGACAGUAAGAUGAUGGAGAUGAUAGAUGGAGACAGGAAAUGGGUUAAAAUAUGUGAGGGAAUAAUAUGAUUUUGUUUCCUUCACCAAUCACUCAUCUUUUGCACUGAUUGACAAUUCAUUGAUAUUUACCAAAUUGCCCUUGUAUGUCUCCAUUGUGGAGAAUAA